UAUUGGUCAAUGGACGCAAGUCUGAACCAGCCAAGUAGCGUGCAGGAUGACGGCCCUCCGGGUUGUAAACUGCUUUUAGUUGGGAAUAAAAGGGGGCUCGUGAGCCCCGUAUUGUCUGUACCAUCAGAAACAGGACCGGCUAAUUCCGUGCCAGCAGCCGCGGUAAUACGGAAGGUCCGGGCGUUAUCCGGAUUUAUUGGGUUUAAAGGGAGCGUAGGCCGGCUUUUAAGUCAGCUGUGAAAGUCCGCGGCUCAACCGUGGAAUUGCAGUUGAAACUGGAGGCCUUGAGUGCACACAGGGAUGCCGGAAUUCAUGGUGUAGCGGUGAAAUGCUUAGAUAUCAUGAAGAACUCCGAUCGCGAAGGCAAGUGUCCGGGGUGCAACUGACGCUGAGGCUCGAAAGUGCGGGUAUCAAACAGG
rnacentral:rRNA from 1 species